UUCACACCUCAAAGCUGAAAUUACACCGUCUCAUAUAUUUCAUUUUUUGAGAAUUAGCCCUUUUACUAAGAAAAAAUAUUGUUUUUUAAAACAAAAAUUACUAAACAAUUUAAAAUCAUUGUUGUCGAAACAUAGCUCAAGAGACAAAUUGUAAUCGUAUGCAUAUCAAAAUACAAGGAUGGUGACCCAUGAUGAUGAGGAUCAUGAUACGGUUCAGUUCGGUUCAAUGGUCACAUCAACGGCGGCGGAGGGGAAAGUCCAGGUAUCGGAAUCGAUAAGAGUUGGAUCAUAAUAAUAAUAAUAAUAAUGUGUUGUAUGAGAUGUGACAUAAGUGUUCCGCCCUGAAGUUGAGUUUUUGAAAUGAUUCUGCGAUGACUCCAAUAAGCGUGAGAUGUGGAUUUGAAGGAUGAGGAGGACUUUGCUGCUGCUUUCUCCUCCAGCCUUCUCGACAACGGUUCUCGAUGAUGAUGAUAAUGAUAAGAGAGCAGCCCGGUCCCAUUGUACGUCCGGGAUGGAGAGAGAGAGAGAGACGGGUGAUGUUGAAUUGAGAUUUAGAGCCAUAUGAUUCGAUCGGCCUGGCGUUUAAUUUGAGUCAAUGUAAGGCGACGAAUGUAAAUGACAGGUCCUAUUAAAAUUGGAUCGGGGAAGCAGUGAUGUGGUCUGAGCCUUGAAAUAGGUUUUCUCUUAUUCAACCCCUCCACCAUCCAUCGAGAGAGGCAGCAGCAGCAGAAGCUUCCGUCCCGGACCAAGCAGUGGAACAUCCAGCAAAUCCGAUAUAAAAACUCUCUCCGGCCAACAAGCCCUUCUUCUCUGCCCAGUCAGUCAUGAUUCUCGGAUUCCGAUUUUGAGCAGCGUAAUCUUGGUUGGCUUUUCGGCAUGAAGAUGUUGCCGAGUUGAUGUGGAUCUAAAUACAUAAAUAAGUAUCCCACGAUCGAAAAAGAAAAGUUCUCAUGCUGAAAGAAAUUGUGUUAUAAGCUUCCUGGCUUUACAAAGGAAACGAUCUGCGAUUAACAUCAAUAAGUGAUUUUGAAGAGUUGUGAAAAUUCUAUUUACCAUCAAGAGAAAAUAAAUUUGUUUUUUAUUUGUUGCUCAACCGGAUAUCGUAACUAGAUAAAAUAAUUUUGUUUUGUUAUAAUAUAUUGGAACCACACAAUAAAAUAAGUAUACUCUUCAGUUUCAAAUAGGUAAUGUAUAUAGUUGAUUUGGUUUUGGUAACUACUUUUUGAAAAUACUUAUGUUAAUCUAUUUUAAAAG